rnacentral:lncRNA from 1 species
GUAGAUCUGUUUGUAUUGAUUGAUGUGUUGUUUACAAAUCUUCUAAAGAUGGCUAUUUAUAGCCUGUUACAGCCAAUUUCCUAACCGACUAGGAUCUAUCUCUAAUUUUAAACGAAAACGAAUAUUUACAAACACAACUCGUAUCGGAGUUGGUUAUCGUACUCCCACGGGCCAAUCUUUCUCUAUCUUCUUUCUCUGAUCCUCCUUAAGGCCAUAUUGGCCCAAUCACUCUAGCCUUCCAGUCGGCCGAUCUCCACCAACUCUGUCCACCAAAACACUGUAGUGUCAAUCGGCCGAUCCCCAACUGUAGCACCAAUCGACCGAUUCCCAAUCGUGACCUUUUAAUCCCC